ACCACAAGCCGAAUGCUUUACACUACGAAACAGGGGGGCUAGUGCAAGUGCUCAGUGCACCUACGUACUACAACAUGCUACGGGCUUAGAACAACACAAAUGGAGUGAUGAUGACAUAAAAGGCAUAAUUAAAACAGGCCGAAGAUGCCAUACCAUACUUAAAGCUUGUGAUUUAGUUUGACUAAGUUU